GAGUACAGCCACACCACUCUGAACACGCCCGCUCUUGUCUGAUCUCAUGAAGCUAAGCAGGGUUGGGCCCGGUUAGUACUUGGAUGGGAGGAAUAGAUCUUGAAUUUU
rnacentral:rRNA from 1 species